CAUCCGUCUGUCCGUCUGUCCGCCCACCUGUCCGUCCGUCCGUCCUUUCAUCCGUCCGUUCCUCCAUCUAUCAGACAUUCGGUCCGUCCGUCCGUCUAUCUAUCCGUCUAUCCGUCUGUCCAGCAUAAACAUGUCGCACCGUAACUUGAGGACAGCUUAUCUUAUUUCUUAAAAUUUAACAUAGUUAUUUCUUAUAAUGGUCAAACGAUCUGUAAACCUUUUAGUGAAAAUCAAAUUAAAUCUUUUUGAGUUACAGGAAAUGUAAGUGAAACAGGA
rnacentral:lncRNA from 1 species